GGGGCGCCGCUUCGGGAGCGCGGGCAGUUCUAGGAGGCCGACCUGCAGAACCUCCCGGUUCCCCUUCCCCUUUUCUCGGACCCCGCGGGGACACCCCCUCGCCGCCACCCGGGCCUCCCCGAAGGCCCGAUGGCGGGUCCAGGCGGCCCGGCCCAGCCAAAAGGGAAGUGGGGCUACCCCACAGCCAGGCCGCGGGGCCGGGGGCAGACCGGGAGCCGGAGGUUGGAGGCGUGCGACCGUCACCUGCGGGCAGGUUCCGGAGGGGAGACCCGGGGCUGCUGGGGACGCCCCUGCGUGGCACCUACCCGGCCUUGGCGCACUGCCAGUCCAAGGCGGGGGGAUCACUUGAGCACAGGAGUUAAAGACCAGCCUGGGCAGCAAAUGUUACCUGGCUGCAUGACCAUUCACUUCUGGGCAGAGCCAGUGGAAGGCAAGGAAGACUCAAGGAAUAGCCCUUGAGGGCUCAGGAGCCAUACAGAUGGGAUAGAGGGUGCGAGUGGAUGAUCAGGCCUGUUGGUCUGAAGACAAAGGGAAUGAGGACAAAAACAUUUCUGGAAAUGGAGAAGAUACCUGGGCCUCUACAGGGCACAUUUCCAGAGCCACUUCCAGGCAGGGACCCCGGCAGAGAGAUGCUGGGGCCAGGACACAGGCUGGCUUGUGCUUAUCUUCCCUCCGCUGGGGGGAGGUCGAGGAGAGAUCUGGCCCCUCUGCUCCGCCCUCCUGAUUUCCCGUCUAAGGGAUUUAGGAGACUCUCGCCUUUUCCUAAUCUCUCUCUCUGCAGAAUUUCUGCGAAGUCAGAAUCCCAUUUCCAGGCAAAGGUGCUUGGUCAUAAAGAUAAUAAAGAUAUUCAUUCACGAUGGAGGGG